UGGCUCUGCUAUCAAAUGUUUAACAUUGGAACGAUACAGAGAAGAUUGGCAUGGCCCCUGCACAAGGAUGACACGCAAAUUCGUGAAGCGUUCCAUCUGUGU